AAGAGAGUACAGAUAUUAACAUUAAUCAUGAUGGAUCUUCAAAGACCAGGCUUCAUCAUUCCUAAAAUCUCUUUCCUCUGGUCAUUCAGAUAACCCUUAAUUAUUAUUAUGUAAAUGAUUGUUAUGUAAGACAUGCUGCCAACAGUAACACCCUUGCUUACCAUGUUAUCGAAAAUUGCCGUUACUUCGUCACGUUCUAAAGCCUAAUCGGUCCAUGUAGAAGUGCACCUC
rnacentral:lncRNA from 1 species